GUGAGGAAUAUUGCGCAAUGGAGGCAACUCUGACGCAGCCAUGCCGCGUGCAGGAAGAAGGCGCUACGCGUUGUAAACUGCUUUUAACCGGGAAGAAACCCCAGGACGUGUCCUGGGUUGACGGUACCGGAGGAAUAAGCACCGGCUAACUUCGUGCCAGCAGCCGCGGUAAUACGAAGGGUGCAAGCGUUAUACGGAUUCAUUGGGUUUAAAGGGUGCGUAGGCGGAGCGUUAAGUCAGUGGUGAAAUCCUGCAGCUUAACUGUAGACUUGCCAUUGAUACUGGCGCUCUUGAGUGCGCUUGAAGUGGGCGGAAUGUGCCGUGUAGCGGUGAAAUGCUUAGAUAUGGCACAGAACACCAAUUGCGAAGGCAGCUCACUAAGGCGAUACUGACGCUGAGGCACGAAAGCGUGGGGAUCGAACAGGAUUAGAAACCCGAGUAGUCC
rnacentral:rRNA from 1 species